GGUUUAUUUGAAUGCAUGAUUUGAUCCACUAAUUAUAGGGGUCCUUGCAAGCGCAAUCUGUGCCAAAUUCACCUGAGUUACAAUGAUCCAACUCAUUUACAUUACAAAAGAAUUAGGUGGGCAUGAGGAGCCACUGGCCGUUACAUGACCUUAAAAAACCUCAUUAUUCAUCCGGCAAUGAGCUGCUUAUUAUCGUGCAUACGGGUUCGAAACAAAGGGAUGACAAAACCGUGCACGCGAGAGCGCGCAAGGCACGUGAGCGUCAAACAACAAAAUAAUUCACCGUUUAUAACGUUACAACCAUGGCUGGACCAUGGCUGCGUGUCAGUUGCAUAAGCGUGUUGUAUAUACAGACGUAAAGCGUUAUAACACUUCAAUGAACACACCAGACAGACUCUUUGUCUAGCAAUGCUGUAAUGACAAUGAGCUCUCGGAUUGACUGUGGGUUAGGAUUGAUGAUUCUGGGAGAGGAUGCCAAAUCUCUGCCUUCAGACCCUUCUGAAGCUUCACAUGGCCCGAAGACAGGAUAGUUCUCAGGAAACGGCAUUGCAGGAAGCAUCCUGGCUGUGGCAGUUGGAGCACAUAUACUGCUCCAUUUUGAUGGGCAUUUGCCAGAACAGCCACUGUGCUGAAAUGAAGAAAACUGGAGAGUCCAACUCUGCUCAGUGCAGACUUAUAACCUUGCUAAGACAACAUUAGUGCUUUAAGCAAAAAGAAGGACAUGUCAAGUCUACAUGAGACUCAUAUUGAAAAUGUCUAUAUACAGUGGCUUCCAAAAAGUAUUUGGUCACAUGAAAUUAAGUUUAGUCAUUUUUAAAUGAUAAAACAAUAGUCAAAAGAAUUGGGGAAUGUUUGUAAUCUUGUGAUG